ensembl:miRNA mir-78 ncRNA
AAUAAAAUAUAUUGUUUCAUAGUGUCCGUAAAAUAACUAGAUUUAUUUUGUAAAAACUAUUGGAGGCCUGGUUGUUUGUGCUGGAAUGUUUCGAGA